rnacentral:misc_RNA from 1 species
AAGUCGUAACAAGGUUUCCGUAGGUGAACCUGCGGAAGGAUCAUUAGAAAAUUCUUUCUAUAUCAACACUUGUGAACUAUAUUCUUGUCUUUCCUGUGUAGAAGCCAGUUCUCUGGUGGACACAUGGGUUGAUAAACUCUUAUUGUUUGACUGAAAACUGGUGAAGCUCAGGAUACUUUAUGUAGAAUGAGUGGAUCAAACUUUUUUAAUAAAACAAAACUUUCAACAACGGAUCUCUUGGCUCUC